rnacentral:misc_RNA from 1 species
UACGGAGGAUCCAAGCGUUAUUCGGAAUUAUUGGGUUUAAAGGGUCCGUAGGCGGGUUAAUAAGUCAGGGGUGAAAGUCUGCAGCUCAACUGUAGAAUUGCCAUUGAUACUGUUAACCUUGAGUCAUUAUGAGGUGGUUAGAAUACGUAGUGUAGCGGUGAAAUGCAUAGAUAUUACAUAGAAUACCGAUUGCGAAGGCAGAUCACUAAUAAUUUACUGACGCUGAGGGACGAAAGCGUAGGUAGAGAACAGG